GACGGGCCCCGCACAAGCAGCGGAGCGUGUGGUUUAAUUCGAUGCUACACGAAGAACCUUUACCAGGGUUUGACAUGCAAGUGGUAGGAACCGAAAGGUGACCGACCCUUCGGGGAGCUUGCACAGGUGCUGCAUGGCUGUCGUCAGCUCGUGUCGUGAGAUGUUCGGUUAAGUCCGCUAACGAGCGCAACCCUCGCUGUGUGUUAUAUGUGUCACACGGGACUGCCGGUCUUAAGCCGGAGGAAGGUGGGGAUGAUGUCAAGUCAGCAUGGCCUUUAUAUCCUGGGCUACACACACGCUACAAUGGCCAGCACAGUAGGUUGCUAAGCCGCGAGGUGGAGCCAAUCCAUAAAGCUGGUCUCAGUUCAGAUUGCAGGCUGCAACCCGCCUGCAUAAAGAUGGAGUUGCUAGUAACCGCAGGUCAGCUAUACUGCGGUGAAUACGUUCCCGGGGCUU
rnacentral:rRNA from 1 species